rnacentral:rRNA from 1 species
UACGUAGGGGGCAAGCGUUGUCCGGAUUUAUUGGGCGUAAAGAGCGUGUAGGCGGUCAGGUAGGUCCGUUGUGAAAACUCGAGGCUCAACCUCGAGACGCCGAUGGAAACCAUCUGACUAGAGUCCGGAAGAGGAGAGUGGAAUUCCUGGUGUAGCGGUGAAAUGCGCAGAUAUCAGGAAGAACACCCGUGGCUAAGGCAGCUCUCUAGUACGGUACUGACGCUGAGACGCGAAAGCGUGGGGAGCGAACAGG